rnacentral:rRNA from 1 species
CAGCAGCCACGGGAAUACGUAGGGUGCGAGCGUUAAUCGGAAUUACAGGGCGUAAAGCGUGCGCAGGCGGUGAUGUAAGACAGUUGUGAAAUCCCCGGGCUCAACCUGGGAACUGCAUCUGUGACUGCAUCGCUGGAGUGCGGCAGAGGGGGAUGGAAUUCCGCGUGUAGCAGUGAAAUGCGUAGAUAUGCGGAGGAACACCGAUGGCGAAGGCAAUCCCCUGGGCCUGCACUGACGCUCAUGCACGAAAGCGUGGGGAGCAAACAGGAUUAGAUACCCCCGUAGUCCCUGUCUCUUAUAC